UACGGAGGAUGCCAAGCGUUAUCCGGAUUUAUUGGGUUUAAAGGGUGCGUAGGCGGCCUAUUAAGUCAGGGGUGAAAGAACGGGUAGCCCUAACUAUCGCAGUGCCUUUGAUACUGAUAGGCUUGAAUGUACUUGAGGUAGGCGGAAUGUGACAAGUAGCGGUGAAAUGCAUAGAUAUGUCACAGAACACCAAGUUGCGAAGGCAGCUUACUAAAGUAUGAUUGACGCUGAGGCACGAAAGCGUGGGGAUCAAACAGG
rnacentral:rRNA from 1 species